rnacentral:rRNA from 1 species
AACGAACGCUGGCGGCAGGCUUAACACAUGCAAGUCGAACGCAUCCUUCGGGGUGAGUGGCAGACGGGUGAGUAACGCGUGGGAAUCUACCCAUCUCUGCGGAAUAGCUCCGGGAAACUGGAAUUAAUACCGCAUACGCCCUACGGGGGAAAGAUUUAUCGGGGAUGGAUGAGCCCGCGUUGGAUUAGCUAGUUGGUGGGGUAAAGGCCUACCAAGGCGACGAUCCAUAGCUGGUCUGAGAGGAUGAUCAGCCACAUUGGGACUGAGACACGGCCCAAACUCCUACGGGAGGCAGCAGUGGGGAAUAUUGGACAAUGGGCGCAAGCCUGAUCCAGCCAUGCCGCGUGAGUGAUGAAGGCCUUAGGGUUGUAAAGCUCUUUCACCGAUGAAGAUAAUGACGGUAGUCGGAGAAGAAGCCCCGGCUAACUCCGUGCCAGCAGCCGCCGUAACAC